UCAUCAGAUAGAAUAAUCCAUACCUGUUCUCUAUUCAGAGUGCAGAUAGAACAUGAUGACGGAUUUUGCAUGAUUCAUGAUUAGUGUCUCUGUGUGAUUAGGGCUCACAUCACCCUAAUCACUCCUGAU
rnacentral:snoRNA from 1 species